UACGUAGGUGGCAAGCGUUGUCCGGAUUUACUGGGCGUAAAGAGCGCGCAGGCGGCUGAUUAAGUCGAAUGUGAAAGCCCCCGGCUCAACUGGGGAGGGUCAUUCGAUACUGAUCAACUUGAAGGCAGGAGAGGGUAGUGGAAUUCCCGGUGUAGUGGUGAAAUGCGUAGAUAUCGGGAGGAACACCAGUGGCGAAGGCGACUACCUGGCCUGUUCUUGACGCUGAGGCGCGAAAGCUAGGGGAGCAAACGGG
rnacentral:rRNA from 1 species